GUCCUUUAGUUAAAAAUAAUUUAAGGUUUAACCUGCCCAUUGAUAGAAUUAAAAGGCCGCAGUAAUUUGACUGUGCAAAGGUAGCAUAAUCAUUAGUUUUUUAAUUAAAAGCUUGUAUGAAUGGUUGGACGAGAUAAAAUCUGUCUCUUUAUGAAAAAUAGAAUUUAAUUUUUAAGUUAAAAAGCUUAAAUUUAAAUAAAAGACGAGAAGACCCUAUAGAUCUUUAUAUAAUUUUUUUUAGUAUUAAUAAAGAAAAUUUUAUUUAUUAAUUAAUAUUAUAUUUUAUUGGGGUAAUAAAAAGAUUAAAAAAAUUCUUUUAAAUUUUACAAAAAUUAUUGAUUAUAUGAUCCAUUAUUAAUGAUUAUAAGAUUAAGUUACCUUAGGGAUAACAGCGUAAUUUUUUUAAAGAGUUCUUAUCAAUAAAAAAGUUUGCGACCUCGAUGUUGGAUUAAAAGUAAUUUUGGGUGUAGAAGUUCAAAAUUUUGGUCUGUUCGACCAUUAAAUUUUU
rnacentral:rRNA from 2 species